rnacentral:rRNA from 1 species
GAUGAACGCUGGCGGCGUGCCUAAUACAUGCAAGUCGAGCGAACAGACGAGGAACUUGCUCCUCUGACGUUAGCGGCGGACGGGUGAGUAACACGUGGAUAACCUACCUAUAAGACUGGGAUAACUUCGGGAAACCGGAGCUAAUACCGGAUAAUAUAUUGAACCGCAUGGUUCAAUAGUGAAAGACGGUUUUGCUGACACUUAUAGAUGGUUCCGCGCCGCAUUAGCUAGUUGGUAAGCUACCGGCUUACCAAGGCAACGAUGCGUAGCCGACCUGAGAGAGAGAUCGGCCACGCUAGAACUGAGACACGGUCCAGACUCCUAAGGGAGGCAGGAGUAGGGAAUCUUCCGCAAUGGGCGAAAUCUUGACGGAGCAACGCCGCGUGAGUGAUGAAGGUCUUCGGAUCGUAAAACUCUGUUAUUAGGGAAGAACAAAUGUUUAAGUAGCUAUGCACGUCUUGACGGUACCUAAUCAGAAAGCCACGGCUAACUACGUG